rnacentral:rRNA from 1 species
AAUCAAGUGGAGGACAAGUCUGGUGCCAGCACCCGCGGUAAUUCCAGCUCCACUAGCGUAUAUUAAAGUUGUUGCAGUUAAAAAGCUCGUAGUUGAACCUCUGUCUGGGGCUAGUUUUGGCUUUGGUCAGGCUAGUUCUAGGCAUCCGCCUACAAGACUUAGAGGGCAUUCAGUUGUUCACUAGGAGGAGUAGGCAUUUUACUUUGAAAAAAUUAGAGUGUUUAAGGCAGGCAAUCGCCCGCAUAUAUUAGCAUGGAAUAAUAGAAUAGGACACUUUUCCAUUUCGUUGGUUAUUGGAAUCGUGUAAUGAUUAAUAGGGACAGUUGUGGGCAUUUGUAUUUAAUUGUCAGAGGUGAAAUUCUUGGAUUUAUUAAAGACAAACUAACGCGAAAGCAUUUGCCAAGGAUGUUUUCAUUAAUCAAGAACGAAAGUUAGGGGAUCAAAGACGAUCAGACACCGUCCUAGUCUUAACUAUAAACUAUUCCGACUCAAUGUUUGACUGGCUUAUAUAACCAGUUGAGCGUUGUAUGAGAAAUCAAAGUCUUUAGGUUCUGGGGGGAGUAUGGUUGCAAAGCUGAAACUUAAAGGAAUUGACGGAAGAGCACAACCAGGAGUGGAUUCUGCGGCUUAAUUUGACUCAACACGGGGAAACUUACCAGGUUAAAACAAUAGUGGGAUUGACAGUUUGAGAGCGCUUUCUUGAUUGGUUGGGUGGUGGUGCAUGGCCGUUCUUAGUUGGUGGAGUGAUUUGUCUGCUUAAUUGCGUUAACGAACGAGACCUUAACCUGCUUACUAGACUGGCGAUCAUCAAUCGUUAGCUCUUCUUAGAGGGACUUCGGUUGUUUUAACUCCAAGGAAGUUUGAGGCAAUAACAGGUCUGUGAUGCCCUUAGAUAUCCUGGGCCGCACGCGUCAUACAAUGACUAGUUCAGAAAGUUUUCUCCUGACCCGAAAGGGGAUGGGUAAUCUUGAUAAUACUAGUCGUGUUAGGGAUCGAUCUUUGCAAUUAUAGAUCUUGAACGAGGAAUUCCUAGUAAGUGCGGUUCAUCAGACCGUACUGAUUACGUCCCUGCUCUUUGUACACACCGCCCGUCGCUUCUACCGAGUGGGUGGUCCGGUGAGAUAAUUGAACUUCGCAGGUAACUGAGAGGAAAGAUUAUCAAACCUAUCCACCU